rnacentral:rRNA from 1 species
CCCGAAGUAUCCUGAAUCUUUCGCAUUGUUAAUCAUACAAGUGCAUAUAAUAAACACAAAAAUCAAUGAUAAUUAUGCCAUUAUAUAAUUCCGAAAAAUUAACGCACUGUAAUCAUAUUAAUCUAUCAGCACUUUAUCAAAUUAAUAACAUUUAUUCUGUGUUAAAAUGCAAGCAAUUUAAUUGGAAUAAACUAUAAGUUAUAUUUUAUGAUAAAUUUGGUAUAUGCUAAUAGAUUACAAUGUCCUUAUAUGGAAAAAAUGCACACUAUCCUCAUAAUAUUAUUUAAAUAUUACAAUUUUAAUGAUGAAUUUUCCAUAACGGAUAUUCAGGUUCAUCGGGC